CUUUGUGUUCUUUGAGUUAUCUUUCGUAAGUUGUUUGGCAUUCUGUCUGCAAUCUUUAAUAGUUAAACUUUAUCAUUGAGUUUACUUGAUGAUAUACUUGCUAUUGAAUUUUGUUGAUGGUGAAUCCUAUGUUUACCAACUAUAAUGAUCAUGGUGGUUCCUACACUAUUAUACUGGUUUAUCGGAUGAUAACUUGCUUAGAAUAUUAUUAUGUUCUAAUCUAAGAUAUAAUCAUUGAUAAUUAAGUCUCUAAGAUAUCAUUGUCUCUGACUUUGAUAUUGUCCAUCUAUUAAUCUUUGAGUUUAGGCCAGUAUAGGCAGACUAGCUUCGGCACUUUGUGUGCAUGUUGAAAUCUCUAGUCAUGGGGUAGCUACUGUCGACUGGUCACAUAACCCGCCUCUUUGUCGAUGUUCCUUGUUCCGUUAAAAGGGCGUGACCGUGUAAACAACUCUAACUGCCUGUUUACAGUAGUCUAUCUAAACCUUACCGACGGGUUUGGUUUCUUUGCUUAGGAGGGUUGGGGCCUCUGGCUUCUCUCUCUAUGUUCCUGCGGGCAGGGGCAUAUCACACUUUUGUAAGCUGGGUGACUCCCAGAGCAGCAAGGGUGGCUGACUCCGUUGGUCAUUUCCUUGUCGGCGACGGCCGGAAGGUGUCUGAGCUGGUAGCGCAUCUGCGUUAGACAAAGAGGUUGCCUCCUAACUCAUUUAAGUUGGUGCAUUUCUCACAUAGUGUGAGUACCGUGAACUUUUUCUGGAGUUGUUUCCUUGGCGGUAUUCUAGACUCGAGUAUGCAUCGACGAGGACGUCGAUCUUCCCUAGGGGGGGAGAGUGUCGCACAUAUGACUUCGGGUAUCGAAAGUUACCUGUUGACUAGUCCUUACGGACACUCUUACCUUACUGCCACGAUGGCAAGAGGUCGGUAUUGCUGGGCCCGUUAUCAGUCUCUGCCUAAGCUAGUUGAGAAACUGGUCAUCACAUGUGCACUUAGACCGGAAGGGCACUAAGGAAGGAAAUCCUAAGUUGUCAUUUAGUCAAGCAGACUUGACACGGUGAUGAGAAACUCAUGAUGUUGGCUUGCACUUGCUAGUGUUAGGACCCCCGCGAUAUUGAGCUUGGUCCCUCAAUAUUGCUAGAUGAUAGCUUACCGUGUCUGCCAAACACCCUCGCUAUCAUGCCCUUUGUGUAGUCUCGUUUCGGUCCCAAAUGCUAUUUAUGGGAAGUGUCCGGAUUUGCUCAUUUUGCAUAUCUACGGAAUGGAGAGAUCGUCCUGAACNNNNNNNNNNNNNNNNNNNNNNNNNNNNNNNNNNNNNNNNNNNNNNNNNNNNNNNNNNNNNNNNNNNNNNNNNNNNNNNNNNNNNNNNNNNNNNNNNNNNNNNNNNNNNNNNNNNNNNNNNNNNNNNNNNNNNNNNNNNNNNNNNNNNNNNNNNNNNNNNNNNNNNNNNNNNNNNNNNNNNNNNNNNNNNNNNNNNNNNNNNNNNNNNNNNNNNNNNNNNNNNNNNNNNNNNNNNNNNNNNNNNNNNNNNNNNNNNNNNNNNNNNNNNNNNNNNNNNNNNNNNNNNNNNNNNNNNNNNNNNNNNNNNNNNNNNNNNNNNNNNNNNNNNNNNNNNNNNNNNNNNNNNNNNNNNNNNNNNNNNNNNNNNNNNNNNNNNNNNNNNNNNNNNNNNNNNNNNNNNNNNNNNNNNNNNNNNNNNNNNNNNNNNNGCUCCUGUCCCUUCGCUCCUUGGGCUUUAUGCUCGGGAGUUGCUCCGUGGUUCGGUUCCGUCACUCUUUGGCUCCAUGCUUGGGAGUUUGGCACCGUUCCUUCGUUUAGUGGCCCAAGGCCCUGAACCUCAGGUUCCUAUGGACACGUGGCAUGGACACGUGGCAUGUGACACGUGGCAUCUGUCACAUGGCACAAAGAGGGUUUAGGUUCCGCUUUGUGGUGUUAUCGUAUGGUAAAUCACCAUAGGAUAAAGGGUCAAAACCACGUGCGCUACAAUCUCGAAGUCCAUCUCGGGUCCAUCUCGGACACCAUCUCGGGUCUAUCUUAGACUCCAUCUCAGACUCCAUCUCGUGUCCAUCUCAGACUCCAUCUCUCUCAAACUCCUUCUUGGACUCAAUUUCGGACUCCAUCUCAAACUCCUUCUUGGACUUCAUCUGGGACACUUCCACGUGUUAUGUGUUGGUCCUUUUGUAUCGCUUUUUUAGAGGCUCACUUAUUGCUCACUUUGUGCUUGUUCUUCAAGCACUUCAUUGGGAGUUCCACUCCCUCUCUCGAUUUUUCGAAUCAAAGCCUUUAGUUUAUAUGUGUUACUUCAUUUGGAGUCUGCCUCAGCCACUACCAUGUGGCACCUUUUCGGCUCCUCUUUUGGGGCCUAGGGAUUUUAUGUCUCACACCAUUGCUAUAAAGAAUGAGGACUAGCUCUGCCGAACACAAUUGUAAAUGGUAACAUAUGGCAACAGACUAAGCAAUAAAAGAUAAACUCAAUUUUGUAUUAUCUAACAUAGAGAGAACAAUAGAAAACUUCUUAUUAUAAAAACAAGCUUGGAAAGUAAAAGCUAGAUGAAUUAGUGUCGAGUGAAGAUAGUAAUCCUGAAAGAAGGAUAGAGGGGUCAUUAACUUAAUCGUGUAAGAACCUUUCAUUACUCAUACGACUCCUCAUUUCCUAGAAAGAUCUCUAUAUUAAGACCUUCCAUUGCAAUAGCACUAAUAUGACAUUAUUUACACCAAGACCUCCACCCAUAAAAUAGAGGACAUCAAUCUAAAAAAUACUGACAACAUUGAUAUAUAUGGCUAACCUUAUCACAUGCCCAUCACUGAACAUCAUGACCAUGACCACACCCUAUCCUUAAACAUGGGUUGCAAUAGUAUUAACCUCCACUGGAACAAAAUCCUUUUCCAUAAGAAGUGGAGUUGAAGUAUAUGUAACGACAAGUGAAAGAGAUGGUGUUUCAUAACAUUGUGUCAAUUAAAGAGUGUUAUCAAGGUGGUGGGAGCAAGUGCAUGUAUAAGGUCUACAAGAUUUUAAUGAAAUAUUAGCCAUAACAUUUCUGACUUGAUUCACUUUAAUAUAUUUGGUUUUUGCACAAAGCAAGAGGUUCUGAAAGCAAAUACAAAACUACAUUACUGACUUAUACAGCUUCUGAAGAAGAUGAUGCAAAUGUUAAAUUGCAUCAUCAUAAUCGUCAACAUAUUCAAAUGCAUGCUUAAAAAUAUUUAAGAGAAGGCUCCAAUCCUUAUAAGUGACUAUACUCAAACUAUUGUACCACGACAACACCAUCUCUAUAAGGAACUUACACAAGUGCUAAGCAUUAUUCCAAAAAUGAUAAGUGGUAAUCAUUGUAAAAUGAUCGAACCAAUAGUAUAUAUCAUUCCGAGGAUUCCUAAAGAAGAACUCUAAUUGGAUGUAAGGGUUGGCAACAAAAGUGUACCACACACUAUGAAUGCCACUAUCAAAUGAGUUUGAUUGGUCAUUUAUAACUAUAUAGCAUUGAGUAUUUUCACCAAUUGCUACUCUAAAGUCAGAGGAAGAGGAAGCUACUACUCUACCAUGAGAAAAACUGAAAAACUAUUAAAAAAAUAAAAAGAGAUUUAAACAAUAUAAAAAUUAGAUCUAAAUCAAAAGCACAAAUCAAAACAUUUAUCAUGGACAAUCAAAGUUUCCCCUUAUCAUUACUAAUGUAAAUGUAUAUAUGGAGUAUAGAAAUUUUUAUAUUUGAUUUUCUACAGUAAGAACUCUCUAAAAAUAAAAAAAACUGACAUAUCUGGACAAUAAUAAUAUACAAACCCAUGACAAAGCCUGAAAACCCUAACUUAUAUACAAAAGUGAGUGGUUUAGAUUGAAACAAGUUCAAUAAUUACUAAAAUCCUAUUAUAUUAAUAAUAGUAUAUGGCAUCAUAGUCUUACACUUAGAUCUCACAACCUAAAUUUUGCCAUGUUUAAAUUGAUGUAUAUUACAACUUUAUUAAGUUAUGUUCUUUCUUUUCCUCUUUUCAUGAGUCAUGCAAACUUUAAUUAUAUUUUGGUUGGUAAUGAAUAUGCCUAGAACAUAUUCUAGGAUAUUCUACCAUCUAAAAUUAUUAUUCACUUAGAUUGAUUUUGCAUUUAUAAAUUAUAAACUUUCCUAAAUACUUUUUAGUAUAUACUAGUUUAUUCUACCAUCUUAUGCAAUAAUAUUAACCUUAUAUUUAUAAAUUACAAAUAUAUUUAUAUUUAUAAACUUCAUAUUGGUAAAUUACAUUAGUAAAAAAUAAUAAACAGGAAUAAAAAGCCACACAUUGUUGUGGAAAAUAUGCAGAAAGUUAAGUUUUUAAUCUUAUAAAUUACUAUAAUUUAUAUUAAUAAUUUAUUUUCUAAUUAUUUUUCCAAAUUAUAUAUUUUGAGUUACCAAUAUGACUUGACACAACUAAUGUUCCAUUAUCUUCAAGUGUUAAUAAAGCAAAAACUAUGCAUUUUAAACAAUAAUUAUCAUUUUCCCAUAUAAUAUUAUCAUCUUUAUUUAUAAGUAAACGACCACUAUAUUGAAGGUGUAAAGAACAAGAAGCAUCAAAUUUUUCUGAAUUUGUAGACCAUAAACUUUGUUCAUGAAGAAUACUUUCAAUUAUUAAAUUACAAUUGAUAAGAGUUGCUCUAUAAUGAUUAUUUGAUGAUACUAAAGCAUUUCCAUUAAUUAUAUAUGUACCAAUUCUAUGUUUAUAUCCACUUAUUAAUUGUGUUCUAUAUGCCCAACAUUGUGAAGUAUCAAAAUCACCAUUUAAAAUAUCUCUAGGUGGAUUAUUAUCAUCAGGUAAACCUUUUGGAUAUUCUAAAGAAGGUAUUGGAUCAUUAGGAUUUCUUCUACUUGGUCCAGUAGCAAAAUAAUCAAUUAUAAAGUGUCUAUAAACAGUAAUAAUUUCUUGUAAACCAUAAAUACGUGCAUGAUAUUCUACAAGUCGUAAUAUUUGAGUAAAUGUUUCUUGUAAAUAUCGUGCAGUAAAGGCAUAGCCUUCAGGAAGUGAUGUACAAUCAAAACCCCUUAAAGCAUCACGAAAUAUAUAAAUUCGAAUAAUAACUUGUUGAUAAGCAACACUUAUUGAUUCUUGAAUAAAAUAUCCAUUUGGCCCAGGAUUGAUUGGCAUAUUGAUUCUUCCUAUUAAAUUUCUAAAUUCUCUUAUAAUUCUACCGAUGUGUCUAUUGCCAAAAUGGUAUAAACCUCCAAUCACUCUUGUUUCUGGUGGUUGUGCAUAAUAGCUUGCAAUAAAAGAAAAUAAAAUGACUAAUAAUAAAAUUUUAAAGCUCAUUAUUACAAAUAAUAAAUAAGUAAUUAAACUAUAUAUCUAUAUAUAUAAAGUUUUAGUUGUUUUUUUUCAAAUUUUUAAUUAUUAGCUUUAAAUCAUAUAUAUUAUUAAAGAUGAGUACCAUUUGUUUCAUGACAUUUGUACACAAAAUAUUUAAAUGAAAAAGUUCACUAUUGUUUAUAUGUUUUAAAAUUAUUUUUAAGUAUAUUAUUGUAAUGUUAAUAAGGUGUUAGUCUGACACUUGUCAAGUUCUUUGUCAAAGAGUGGCUCUUCGGCAUGCUGGGGGAUUUUAAUCUGCUGAAUUUUGUGGGCUAUUGCGACGAGCUCAAUGCUGGGUAUGCAACCAAUGGCUAUCUGCAAGCCAAAGGCGUGGGAGCUUGCGCCGUGACGUUCACUGUUGGGGGUCUUAGUGUCAUCAACGCCAUAGCAGACUCCUACAGCGAGAAUUUGCUGGUGAUUUGCAUUGUUGGAGGCCCCAAUUCAAAUUUUUUCAUCACACGAUUGCAAGUUACUUGUGCUCAGGUAACAAAUUUUUUUCUCUCAUUUUCUUCUUUCUGUGUGGAACAUCCACUGGUCUUGCAAUUGAAAACUUGUUUAUUUUGUGGAGCAUGGAAUCUCUCAUCAAUGAUUUUGAUGGUUUUUGCAUGGAAUAUUUGUGUCUUGUUUGGAAACCCUUGUGCUGUCAUAACACAAGCAUUGUUUUCAUAGCUUUAUGGGAACUAAGGCAAAGCUUUUAUAGGAACUUGGCUCUUUUGUGGAACUUUUUUCCUGGUCUGGCUAGGUUACAGCAUAGGAUGUUGGUACCAUGAUUCGUUAUGGCCAAAGGAGCAUCAUAUUCCUGAUUAACAACCGUGGCUUACACAAUUGAAGUGGAGAUCCACGACAGACAUGAUUAAAAAAACUGGGAUUACACUGGAGUGGUGAAUGCUUUCCACAACAAUGAGCAUCACGAGAAAGGAGCUGCUGGAAUGGGGGCCGCUGCUGUUACCACAUCUAAAGUUCCCUAGCUAUUGACACUAUUCACCAAAAGCAAUAUAAAUCCUCUUAAAGCUAUUUUGUCUUCUUAAGGGGAUUGUGGUUCAACACUAUAAUAGGUUUUGACUUGAUGGUGCUAGUGGAAGGAGACUAGCUAUACAAUUUUUCAUUGGAGAAUAAGAGUGCAUUUCAAGGUGUUCUUGGAAUAUUUCACAAUAGGUGAUGAUUAAAUCUAAAUUUCUCAUUAUAAUAAUUUCAUCAUAGUUGUGUAUAUUAUGUAGAUUAACAACAUAGGCUACAAUUUGUUAUGCUAUACAAAAGCAAUGGCAUAAGUUCACAUAUAACAAGAGCCCAUAAGCAUUAUGCUAUAUAAACUCCUCUUUUGUGGAUAUGGAUGUUGACGAAGACUAUUUUUUUCUAUACUAGAAUUUUAUAGUGGUAUUAUACAAUUUCUUCUUUGACUUAUGAAAUUUAAUUUUUUAUUAGACUUAUGUUAUUUAGUAUCUUCUUGGACUCAAGAUGUGUCUUAACUUUCGAAUAGAAUUGUUAGUUUGUCCCAAAUCAAUCAUUUCAACAUUGACUUCUAUUAACUUGAGCUCAACUCGUGAGUUGAGCUCAAAACCUCUAGCAAAUAACCUUUAUCAUUUUCUCAAAAGCUAGUCCAUUGGAUGAAGCCUUUUUUUUCUCAAGAGUGUGAGCUUGUUCAAAGUGUUCAACUAGUAUGUUAUUGCCUUCUGUGAGAACAAUCAUAAGAGAGAGAGAGAUUUUCUUCCUCCGCUACUUUGUCAUAUUCUUCAUUUGGUGCUGUGGCAUUUGCAUGCUCUCUUGUGAUUGAUUUUUGGCACUCUCAUUCAUGUCAAGGAGAUUUCUUGAACAAAUACCCUUGAUUAGAACUUGUUGAUGGUAUCAAAUAGAUCCUAGUCCAAAACUGGCAGAGUGAACUUCUUGAAAAUACCCAAGUAGAGGGUGAAGUAAUUGGCAUUUCCAAUCUGGUGAUUAUAAUCCUUGAUUACACUAGUUGUCUAGUGAACUGGAGCUGGUUGACACUUCUCACAAGCUGAGGCUCUACCUUGCAAGAUACUCUUCCUGCUUCAAAUCAAUCAAAGCAUGAUUCUCAACUAAAGUCCAAUUGUAUCCUCUUUUCCACCUUGACACUAGAUCAUCUUCAAAUAGCCCCGCUUCCUUGGUUGUUGAUCCCUCAUCACUCACCUAUAGUUUCUCAACUUGAUGAAAAUGCAUUCUAGGAAUACCUAGAUUGGAAAUGAGGUUGCACGUGCUAUGCUUCAUCCUCAUAUGGCCUGAUGCUCCCGAAUUGCAAUACAAAAAGUGAGUGUGAGAAUCAUGAUUAACACUAGGAAUCACAUAAGUAGAGAGCAUGGCAAAACUAGCAUUAGAUCUGGUGAUCAAGCUCUCAUGAUCAAGCAGCUCUCCUGACUCAUUCCAGCCCUAAUGGAAAGUUACAUAAAUAUAAUGGUAAGUACAUAAAUAUAUAAAUAUACAUAAAAAGAUACAUAAAUUAAAUGGUAAUUAUUGAUACUUAAAGGUCUAUGUGAAGCAAAAGCUCCUUAAAUUUCACCCUUAACUUGCAAAAAGGGCCUAAUUGGCCUAAGUAUGGCCCAUGUGUAUGAAUGAAGGCUUUAGAGACUUAUUUAAUUAAUUUUUGGUCUGCUUAAGAUAGUGGAUAUACCUAGAAGAUGCUUAAAUAUUCUAGAAUAUUUUAAUAUUUAAUGAUUUUUAUUCGUAUUUAUAUUUAUAAACAUAUUUAUCAUUUAUCAACUUUACUAAAAAUUUAUAGUCUAAUGGUUGAUAUGCAAUAAGAUUAAUUUUGUGUUUAUAAAUUAUAAAUAUGCUUAUAAUUACUGAUCAAUUGGAUUAAUAAAUACUAAAUAAGAAUACUACUAUAAGCAUUGCUACUGCAACAUGAAGUAAAUUAUUUAAUUUGUAAGUAAUAAAUUAUAUAAAGUUUCAUAUUACGUCUUUAUAUAUAAAUUUUACAUUUAAAAACAAUAAAUCGUUGGCCAUGCUGCAAACAUGUAAGAAUGUACUCGAAUAUCUUUAGCAUAUCUUCUUAGGCUCAAGCUAAGGGCAAGUGCAGAAGAGAGGGCAAUUUGGCUAGAGAUAAAGCAUUUAGAGUGAGGAGGGGGGGCUUGGCUAAAGGACCAGCUGGAGGGUAAGGAGCUAGUAUGGAUAAAACUGUAGAAAAUAAAUUAGGGAGCACAAAUAUGAAUUCUCUAUGAUGCUACAGAAAUAGUUUGGAAAGCAUUCAAAGGGUAGUAGAGCAGAGCAUGUUUAUUUUUCCCAGCUCAUACUCAAUCAUAAAAUCAAGGGCCUAUAGCUACUCAAUCCAUCAGUAUUGCUUCUUGUUAAGAUUUUGCUGCUUUAAAAGAAACUAAGUGGUAAAUCCUCAAUGUGAAAUGUGCUAGAACAAGGUAGCGGCACCACUUUCCCACUGCAUGCAUGACCUCUCUUCUCUUCUUUCUCUUGCCUUGGUUGCUCUUGAGCUCAUCCAACCUGUCAAUUGCAGCUCUAGAGGACUUCUUGCAGCAGGAUUGCCACCCACCAACUCACAGCACCAAGAAGAUGCUAUGCACAAAUCCUUCAUUGAGUCCUUCCAUACUUCUAUCUUCUUAGCUGUGAUAGGAAUGACUUCUAUCUCUUUCCCAUGCACUACUUUACUCUCAUACGUGCUCGGGAACACCACUAGCUGGUAUGGAUGAAACUAUAGAAAAUAAAUUAUGGAGCACAUAUAUGAAAUCUUUAUGAUGCUAUAGAAAUAGUUGGGAAAGCAUUCAAAGGGUACUAGAGAACAUACAAUUCUCUAUAAUGCUAUGGAAAACAGUUGGGAAAGCAUUUGAAAGGUAGCCUUGUAUGAUCUGCUAACUUGGUUCUAGAAUGGACAAGCCUUGCACCACUGAGUCAUUUGGCUUCUCAAACUUAUGGGACAAUGCAUCAGAGAGCAUGUUCAUUUUUCCCAGCUUGUACUCGAUUAUAAAAUCAAGGGCCUAUAGCUACUUAAUCCGUCAGUAUUGCUUCUUAUUAAGAUUUUGCUGCUUUAAAAGAAACUAAGUGGUAAAUCCUCAAUAUGGAAUGUCCUAGAACAAGGUAGCGGCACCACUUUCCCAUUGCAUGCAUGAUCUCUCUUCUCUUCUUUCUCUUGCCUUGGCUGCUCUUGAGCUCAUCCAACCUGUCAAUUGCAGCUCUAGAGGACUUCUUGCAGCAGGAUUGCCACCCACCAACUCACAGCACUAAGAAGAUGCUAUGCACAGAUCCUUCAUUGAAUCCUUCCAUACUCCUAUCUUCUUAGCUGUGAUAGGAAUGACUUCUAUCUCUUUCCCAUGCACUACUUUAUUCUCAUAUGCGCUUGGGAACACCACUAGUCUGCAACUGUUUGCAAUGCAUACCAAGAUUCUCAAACCCAACUUGCCUAAGAAGGUGAUGAACUUUUUCUCUCACAAGAACUUGCUCUUGCCACUCUAACUCACUAGAGAACUCUUUUAGGACUUCCAAAAUGCUUAGAAUCACUAUGUUUCCACAGCCAAUCACAAAUAGCUCUAUAAUUCCCUCCUUGCAACUCUAGAAAGAUGGGAUGAGCUCAGAAUCCUCUCCAAACACUCAGUUCUACUACAAGCUUGGGAACACCACUAAUCUGUAGCCAUUUGCAAAUUAUAAAGAGAUUCUUCUCAAAAAACGCUUUCUUCUUUCUAAAAAAUAUGGACCAAAGGGUUAUAGUUGUCCUUAACCUAACCUCCAUCACUCCAGAUGAGGCUAAGAUUUUUAUGAUGUUUAUAAUGCAUCCAUCUCCCAGAAUCUUGGAUUGUUGUCUUGAACUUCUGCCACCUUUAUUGCUUUGCUAGUGAUCAUCAUAAACCCAUCCAAGUUCCCUAUAUUGCUUCGCUCCUGAUCCUCCCACUGAAAUCCCAAAGAUUCCUUAAAUCUCACCACUUAAGAUACUCAUCUGCUAUGUGAAUCAAACCACAUUUAACUAUUUCCAUCCAAGAUUUUGCAUCUUUAUUAUGCCUGCAUUUCUUCGACCCCUGUCAUCAUCAAACCACACUUAACUAUUUCCAUCCAAGAUUUUGCAUCCUUAUUAUGACUGCAUUUCUUCAACCCUUACUGUCCAUGUUUACUAUGUGGAUCAAACCACACUCAACUGUUUCCAUCCAGAUUUUGCAUCCUUAUUAUGCCUGCAUUUCUUUGACCUUGUUUUCGAUAUUUCUUGCUAUCACAACUUCCUCAACAUCUUUUGGCUAUUUUUCAGCUGCCAGGACUUCCUCCUCUGUUAAUGAUGCCACUAAGAAGCCUUGGUCUAGAGAAUCUCAAGUCUCCUUGACCUCAUUACCCUUGUUGCUUACUCCUUUUGCAUGAACCUCCUCUUAACAAGGUUUCUUGAUUCCUACCCCACCUUGUGAUCCCUGUAAUGGACUCACCUUAGUUCCAUAUGGUCUACCUAGAAGAGUAAGUCCUUUCACAGAGAAUCUUGUUGGAAGAAGGACCCAGGAAUAUGGAGGCUUCAGCCUUGCCCUAGUCAUAUCUUACCACAUCCUGUCACUGGCAGCUCCUGAUCCCCACAAGACUUUUGACUUUGAAAGGCAAAUUUAGCCAUGUUCUACCAAGCUUUUACUCCAUAAACACUUGUAAUUCCUUGUUUGCCUUCCUGAUGCUUGAUGUCAUGAAUUUUGCCAUGAAUAACCUUUUUCAUGCAUUUUCAUCUCUAGGAAACACUGCCUCCUACCAUUCUUUAGCCAUCUUGGCCAUUUCCAUAGCCAUGUUUUCUUCAUGAAUGGCCAUCUCUUCUUUCAGCAUCUCAUCUCCAAGUUUGUUGGUGUCUUCCACCAUCAUCUCCACCUCCUGGAUUCUUGAAUCCAUUUUCUUGAGCUCCUAUAUCACGCAAGCCCCACAAGCAUAUGCCAUCUCGAGCUUCUUUGUUGUCCUCUAAUUGAAGGUGGUAAAGAAUUUACUACCUCAUAAGCACCUCCUAGAUACUUUAGCUUUGCUUCAUAAAGAUUCUUUGUCUCUUGGGCAUGCUUUUAGAUUCCAUGUGCCAGUGCAAUGUGAGUUCCCUGGAUGGUGCUGGCAAUGUGCUAUGGCAGGAGGAGGUCUGCGGCAAGUUUUGGGGCGGAUUGAGCAGCCCAAUAUGCUGAGCUUCAUGGCAGCCAUGAGCGCCAUAACAGGGCUAGUGAUGUGCAAGGCGGGGAGAUUGAUCCAUGAAAGUAUUGUCAGGGUCGAAUUGCUCAAGAGAGGCAAGUGGAUCCAUUUGCAGCCCCACUGCCUCGUAUCAAAUAUGGUGGUGAAAAUUCUGCUCAAUAUGUAUGCCAAAUGUGGACAGGUACAAAGGCAUCGCUAUGCUUGCAACUAAUCAUCCUCAAGAUCUCAAUGAAGCUAUGCACAGGCGGGUCACUUUUCUAUUUAGUUGUGUUAGCGAGUUUCAUCCGCCAGAACACCGGGGAAUUUGGAAGAUAUCAUAUGACAAAUUAUAUUUAUCAAAAUAGCUUUUAUUAAAGUGUGUUAACAGAUACAAAAGUAGUUCUUUACUUCAAGAGACAGUGCCAGUUUCCGAGGAAGACAUCAUCGAAGGCAGGUGCGUGGCAGCUUUAGAUUUGUGUUUUAGUUUGUGUUACUAAUACCGGAAUCCACAUACGAAGUCGUUCAAUUUGUCCAAAGGUAAAUCACAUAGCGUUUUUUCAAAGCACUUUGAGCUUAAGUUGAUUCCAGUGCAGGCGCUCACAUUUUGAUGGGCUAAGCAAGCGAUUCAAUGAGGUUGUGUGUUCUUUUUACUGUCGUCCACCUUGCUGAGAAACUUUCUUCAGGCUGCCUUACGCUCUGGUGAUCGGACCAAAGGAUCUAGUGCCUGAAGCUGAAAAGAAACACCUCUGUCAUCUAAAUGCCUUUUCAACUCUUUCUUUUGUUGCAGAAAGUGACGGCAGUCGCAGCUUGAUUAGUUGUCCGGUUUUGACGUGGUAAUAUAGGCUGUUAAGGGUAACACUUGAGCUAAGUGUUGGUACAGCACGGUUUUUUGAAGGAAGAAAAUGGGAGCUGAGCGUUCUAAGCCCGAGUGUCCACAAGGCUGUCAACGAUUUGGGGAUCACUUCUUUUUGAACACUGUUAUCCAAUGUCCACACACAAGAUGAAAUCCUCAUAUAUAUAUAUAUAUAUAUAUAUUAUGUCAGUGCUACUCACUCUCGUCUCUGCGCUCUCUUUUAUGUUGCAGGCGAUUAGCACCUUGAGGCGAAAGAGAGUCCAGGUCGCGACCAAGUUUGGCAGGGAAUCCGAUGUGAUCCAGCUGAAUCAUCUGGGAGACGAAAUCCUGUGAAGUCCACACCCUAUAUAAUUCCAUAGGGCCAGGGAUAAUGCAAGACUGGAAUAGGGAUUAAUGGGUCCGCCGCGCCAUGGAUCUGGAAAAGCGUCAGGCCUGCAGCUCCGGAGAUCCAGACCGCCCGGCGAUGAGCAGCGCCUUGUUCCUCAGGAGAAAGCCGCCGCAUCUUCAGGGCGGAGAAAGCGGAAAGCGGCUGAAGAAUCAGCGGCCGCAAGAGAAAAGAAAAGGUUGCAAUCUAUAGUAAUCCAAAUGGUCCACGAGAAAUCUCCUGGCAAGAUUAUGGACUUGGCCAAGAAGAUGCUCGAAGGUACGGUUUGUUUUUCAUUCCCAACUUCAAGAUAGUUCUCACGAUACAAACAAAAUUUAACAGAUCCAAAACCAACGCCAACGCCAGAGACUUCUGAAGAGACUGAAGAUGAUCCGGGAAUCGUUGAGAGAGCAUUUCAAGGGGAGUAUCAGACUGUGGGGGGAGUAGACAACGUUGAUCUCUUGCGUCAGAAGAUUGAAGAAACAGGAACAUCCUGGGUUGCAAAGAAUCGGAUAGCACCUGUCGUUACUCUAGUGCAGUCGAGUGGCUGGGGAAAGUCGAGGACUAUCUGCGAGCUUGCAAGUCGAGGUGUGUUCGUGGUUUACUGCUCCUUUGCAUCUGCCACCACUACUUACCCGCCAAGGUCUGCCAUUGCGGACUUCUUCUACACAAGCGCCGUCAGGUUGCUCAGCUCGGGUUCUCGGCUUGUGUCAGAGAGCAGGUUUAUGCUCUUCUGCAUGCACUACUUCUCGUCGUGCAUCGAUGUCGCCGUGGACAAGCAGUUGGCGGCAGAGGACUUCCUGCAGGAACUAAUGCUUGGAGAGGAAUUCUGGCGUCUAGUGCAGGCCAAGAUUGAGAGUCGACAAAAACAGUGGGAACGCCGCUAUCCUGCACUUGAAAAGGUACUGCUGGAGGAGCCUAGUAGAGCGACCAAUGUCUGGGGCGCAUGGGAAGAUCGGGUACAUCGGCGAAUGCGGAAUACCGACAAACUGAAGCAGUUACCGGAUCCUCCCAAAGGAAAACUCAAGGUUUUGUUUGUCAUGGAUGAAGCUGGAUGGUUUGGCAGGUGUGAUGAUCAUCGAGCUUUUGCUGCAUUUGAUCCUGCAAGAAGGGCUGCCAGGCUGUUUCCAGGGACUGGAGAGGUCGUUGCCUUAUAUACAGACACCAACGAUUUUGCUGGGAGCAAUGUUGCACCUCCAUGUAGGCCGCACAGCAGCGACCGAGUAGCUGCACAUGGAAUGGCAGUAUCACAUCCAGCGUACUGCUUUUUCCCGGCACACUCCCCAUCAGACACAGGAACAGGUAGCCUUCCGCUUGCCAAAGUGGAAAAUCUUGGUCGUCUGGUCGCUUAUGGUCGGCCGCUCUGGCAAGCACUGUUAAAGGCUAACGGAGAUCCUCAGGAGGUAUUAACUCUGGCUGUCAACAAGCUCCUUGGCGGCGCGAAUUCGCUCAGCAAAUUUGUGGACCAAGGUUUUAUGUUGGAAGAGGCUCCUUUGGCCAUACUUGGCUGCAGGGUGUGCCUCGACAUCAACCCUCAGGCCAGAGUUGUCGCCGGCUUGGUUGCGAGGCACCUGCUUAGCGUGGUGUCUAUCUCUGACGACCGGGAGCAUGUUUGGACGGAUUGGGCCGUCGAGCCAGUGGUUGCAGCGGCUGCAGCAAUGGCUUUGCGUGCGGGGCGAAAGCGGACAGGGUGGCAAUACUGUCUCGAAAAACUUGAGGACGGGCUGAUGCGUGGCUGGGUUGAUCGAGGUUACCGGGGCGAGCUUGUUGCACGAGUGCUGCUAUUACUCGCAGUGGACAGUCUGCAGAAAGAUGCAUGGAGGUGCUUCACUUUUGACGAGCUAUGCCGUGGCCUUUGCGGCACGUCGCUGUCGGAUCUCAGAAGAGCAGAGCUGGGAGUGGAAGACGAGGAGAAGGGCCUUAAAAAUGUUGGUGACGCCAAGUUUCUUUGCUUGCAGUUCAGGAAAACUGACAUUCCACUGAAGGAGCUCACAGCAGAGAAUCUGCUUGCAUUUGGAAAGGCGGGUGUUGGCAUUAUUUGCAGUGGAGGCAUAGACAUUAUCAUCGUAGGCUUUUUCGGUGGUACGUUCAGCUUGGAGACGAUGACCGCCAUUCUGGUGAAAGUGAAGAGGACGAAGACGCUAGGCGACUUGGAUUUGGCAUAUGCUAAAUGUAGCCCGGAGUUUUCUGGGAUGGUGGCUCUACUCGAGGUACCAUACGUGAGCUUGCUCGUGAAUGUUGCUGACAGUUCCAGUGACGAACUUGGAAACUCAGAACGACAAAGCGUCAGUUUCAAAACUGGGAAACUCGUUAAAGCGGCAUUAAUGAAGAAGAUGCCUGCAAAUGUUUCGAUGGAAGUGGCACUCCAGGAAACACACCCAAAUUGCGAAGGUGUUGAGCUAUGGGGAAAGGAGAAAGGAAUGUUGUCCAGGAGCAAAAGACGUUCCUUACGGAAUGUCGAGGCAUGGAAACGAUAUUUUACUCGGGUUGAUGACGAUCUCCAACACAUCGUGGCUAUUAAAGGUGCGUUUUGUGUUGUUUUGUUGACAGUCACAUUGGUUUUUUUCGCAGGCUUGCAGGCAUUCUCAUCCAGGGACCAAGUGAAACCCCUGGUUGACAUGUCUCUGAAAUCCGCUCCAGGGAUGAGGCGGUUAGAGGAGAGGAGUCAGAAGAUAUGUGCAGAGAUGAUGUUUAGCCUUGUCGGAAAGAGCAAACUGCGAAAGGAAAGGAAGUCACUACUCUGGUAAGGAGUGCUUUGCAUCUAUAUUUCUCUUGACGAUAUUAUUUGUGCAGUGGCUGUCACAGUAUAUACAGCUCCAAAUUCUGGAAUGUCGCCGGCUUCCAUCGCUGUAAACUUUUUCAAAAGGGCGCAAGAAGAUCUUUUAUUUGACUAAUAUAAAAGUUUCUUCUGGCCAUGGUCGUCCAUGACAAACUUGAUCUCCAGUGCACCACAGCAGUGUGCCUAGAACUCACGUUCUACCGAUACAACAUCGAAUGGAAGCUCCUCCGAAGAGGCUAAGCUAUACGUCUUCAAUUUCGUUUUCUUUCGUUUCUCGACUAACAAAAGAUCUCUUGAGACUAGAUUUUAAAUCAAAAUGUAAGAUAAGAUGGACAUAAGAUGAAUGAGCACAGGCUCUUUAGUUUUAUUUUCUGGAUCUUAUUACACGCUGAAGGUUGGUUGUUUGUAGACAUGUGUAAAUAACCUGGUUAAACAUUUGUAUGUUUGCCGUCGCGAGUGGAGUUCAAAAAAAUCACCUCAUGGUGUGGUGCUUAUUUACUACACCAUUAAAAAGUUCGCCCGCUUCGUCCAAAACGAUCUAUGGUUGUAGAAUUAGUGAAAAAAAAAGAAAGAAAAGCGACCCAGAGAUGCAUGAAAAUGUUACAGGCCCCUUGACCUCACCAAUGGAAGAAAAUACGUAAGCAUUUCGGUAAGGAGAGAGGAAGAAUCUGUGAAGUAAACUCUAGGCGAGACGCAAAGCACGAAGAACACUUGAGAAAGUUCUAGGAGAUCGCCUGCCCUAGCUAAAUCAAAGAGGGAAGAACUCAGAUUCGCCUUUUCUCAGCCAAAUCGUCGCAAGCUCUCAGUGAUGUCAACGUAUCAGCCAUCGCUUGAUGCGAAGACCACGAUCAUCAAACUCACAACAAGACUUGGAUUGCGCUGAUUUUCUGUCGAAUCAUCACCGUUCCUGGGCAAGAACAAGGGCACUUCCACGAGGGAGAAAACCAAACUCGCUCCUGCCCAUACCUCCUCGCCAUCAAAAUCAUCUUUGCUGCGAGAUCGCGUCACAAAAAAGGCAAAACAGGAGGCACCAAUCGAUCAUCCCACGCCGCAAGAACAGGGCAUCAGACUUAAACUAAUGAGCGUAAAGGAGAGCCCUACCAGGGACGGCCGAGAUUAAAUCACUGCUCCAACGGCCACGAUCUCUUAUGGCGUUUAGCCCAGAUUAACAAAGUUGAGAAGGUUUACCAGCAACGCAGUCAAUGGCGCUGACUGGAAAUUGAAAUUUGACUGUCCAGUCAAAUAAAUAGUCUGCGAGGAUCCGGAGCGUGAUCACGAAAAUGGCUCGUGGAAAUCUCUCCUCGCUGCCGUCACUGCUGCUUAUUCUCAUUUCUUCCUUGAUGAUAUUCUCAUCCCGCGCUGCCGAUCCCGAUCCAGCGCAGGAUUACUGCGUCGCAAACGUCGAGCUCCCGCUGCGAGUGAAUGGCUUCACUUGCAAGCCCGAGGUCACUCCGCUCGAUUUCGUCUCCUAUCUCCUGCGAGAGCCCCCGAAUCCCACCGCCCUGGAGAACAAUCGACUGGGUUCCAUCGUCACGCAGGUGAACGUCCAGAGUUUCCCGGGGCUCCACACCCAGGGCCUCUCGAUCCAGCGCUUCACGUACGCGCCCGGAGGCGUGAUUCCUCCCCACGUCCAUCCCCGGUCCUCGGAGCUGCUCUACGUCCUCCAGGGAACGGUCGUGGCGGGGUUUGUGACCACGGACAACCGGCUGUUCCAGGCGACGCUGGAGCCUGGCGACCUCUUCAUCUAUCCCAGAGCUCUCAUCCACUUCUCGGUGAACACGGGCGAGACGCCGGCGCUGGCGAUCGCGAGCUUCAACAGCGCCAAUCCGGGCACGGCGCUGCUGCCCAACGCGCUCUUCGCGUCCGUGCCCGUGCUCCCGGCCGCGGUGCUCGCCAAGACGUUUGCGUUGAGCCAGAGGGUCAUGGAGAGCUUGCGGCUCGCAUUGAGGAGCAUUCUAACCUAGCUAGUAGCAGUAGCAGUAGUGAUCUAUCGAUUCUCUGUCGCGAUUAUCUAUAUCCAUCCUCCCAUCGAUCGAUCGAUCCAUUCGUGCUUUGAAUUUAAAUUUGAAAGGUCUUUUCCUAAUAGAAUACCCUAUAAAAUCUUGCAAACAACUUUAAAUUGAGGUUUAGAAAAGGCUGGCGGAUAGGUCGCGCUUCUUCGAAAGAUGGCUGCCCAAGCUUCUCUCCCUCGCCAAUGUUUUGUCUCGCAGGACAAUCCGUGUGAUCAGGGAAUAUCUAUCCUCAUCAGAGGACGUCGAAGAUGACAUAGUCCACAUCGAAGUGACGAACAACGAGGGAGCGUUGGAGGGCACUGUUCAAGUCAGUCGCUGACAAGGCGUUUGAGGUGCUUGAGGCGGCAAUGGCGCGUGAGCGUGAGCGUGAGGCGGAGGCGGCAGCAAUAAUCAGUAAGUUCCUCUUCUUGCUUGUGUAUUUCGGUCUCAUGUCGAUUCUUCCGCGUGAGCAAAGCUCGUACUUGGACUUGGAAAAUGCGCAUCAGAAUGAUGGGCGGAUUGUGACAGUCCAGCACGCCAUCUCUGGGAGCACGAAGCGAUACUCAGUGGGGCCGGUUGCUGAAAUGUUUGCAAGGAACGUCCAAAAGCUCCUCACGAACCUACGGGCCGACAUCGAGCGCCACCCUAACCGCUGGCAAAUCCGCCAGUGCGUUCGGGAGCCGGAUGACUCCUGCAAUGAUCUCGGCAAGGUCUACCAGCAUGCAGCACGACUGGUAGUCGGCCACUGUACCACGCAAAAUGUUGACAUACACAACUUCACAAAGUGCUGCCAGUUCCAGAGGAACAGACUAAGCAAGAUCAGCGGCAGGCGACAGCACCUUACUUGACUUGGCUAUUGGCAUCGUCCAUCCGGCCAUGGUGGUAUCGACUAAUGCUUACGAGUGGUGCGACAUCUACGUGGAGUUCAUAAACGACGAAUCCAAGCUUGCUGAGGGGUGUGGCCAGGUUCUGGACAGGGCGGAGAAGCGCCGGAAAGAUGCUUGCGCAAAGAAGAAGGUGGCGUUGGGUGGUGUGUCUACAGGCAAAGAUCUAUUACCUAUGGUCGUAUUCACAGACGCUGGAGCCUUCCCACUCAUACAAGGAGAAGUAUGUCGUGCGGUCUGAUUCAGGCGAGAUAUGGGAGCGAGAGCUCGUCCACACGUACAUGGACUUCCUCUUCCGCGGGGGCUGCUAUUUGGUUCGGUUGGAUGGCAGCAAGCAGCAAGUGGUGCUCAAGCGAGGCCCCAUGCAGUCGGUCAAGUGUGCAGCUGAAGGAUUUGGUCUUCCAAUUGAGCUCUUCAGCCAGGUUGAGAAUGAGAUCCGCGUUCGGGAGAUUCUGGCUGCCAGUGGAUGCAAGAUCAGGAUCCCCGAGAUUCUGUGGUCGGGCACGGCUUUACACCCGUUUGGCUGGAGAAACUGCCCGAUCGUGCUCGUGAAUUACGUUGGUGAAUCGCUACACAGCAAGACGCUUCCUAUCCGAGACGCCGCCAAGAUGGGAGCUAGCCUGCUGGAGACGGUGCUGGAGCUGCACAAGCGGGGGAUAAUCCAUAGAAACAUCAGCCCCAGGAACGUUGCUUACCGCGAGCAAGGAGUUGGUUUGGAGAGGUUCCACCUUCUCGACUUUGGGAUUGCCGCGAUUUCCUCGGACAAUGGUGGUAGCGUGGGAAGCAGCUCUGUCAAGGACCUGGAGUUUCGCUCCAUGAACUCGGUGUUGGGCAACAGCGUUGACGCUUCAGCGGAUCUCGAGGGUAUUCUGUAUACGAUGGUAAAGGUGGCCGGGAUGGAUCUACCGUGGUCGACUGCUGCGCAGGAGGAGGACGAGGACUUGGUGGUUACCAUCCGGCGCCAAGUGUUGGACCAGGGCUUCCUUGCGGAGUUCAAGGACGCCCUGAUGUUCCUUGACCUUCGUUUCACCAUAUGAUCAUUUCCAUUGUCUAGCCUCUAAAUCUCCCGGCUCGCCCCUGCUCGCCAAGACGUUUGCAUCGAGCCAGAGGGUCAUGGAGAGCUAGAGUAGUGACCAAUCGAUCCUCUGUCUCAGUUUGAAUUUAAAUUUGAAAGAACUUUCAACGACUAUAGAGAGGAAUUAGGGUUCUUGCAAUGUCGCAGCUACAACGACUGUGUCUUUGGCGACGGCGGGCCUUGGAUCGCUCUUUUCAACAUCUAGAAGCUGGUGAGGAAGAUUCAUCGUCGCAACGCAAAUGAAUCCCGCGCAACAAGCUCGUGAGCGGUCGGCCCUCGCCAUCAUCUUUCUGUGCUCGCCCCAAAUUUCGUCGCGGCGAGCUCGAGAUGGAAGAUCGGUCGAGAAAUGGGGUGGAGCAGCCGGUGAUCGGGCAGGAUAGCAACAGGAAGCUCCGGAUCUUGAGCAUCGAUGGCGGUGGAAUGAGAGGAAUCAUCCCAGCCCAUAUGCUGGCCUACUUGGAAACGGCUCUCAAGGAGAAGAGCCACAAUCCAGACGCUUGCAUCGCCGAUUUCUUCGAUCUGGCGGCUGGAACCAGCGUUGGGGGACUCAUUGCCGUGAUGCUCUUCGCAUCAUCCGACUGCCGCGAUGAUCAAGGCGAAGAAAUCUCCUCCUCCUCCUCCUCAUCGUCCACGGGAGAUCAUCAAAACCACGGUUCUAAGUCACUACGUCGGCCUCUCUUCACGGCCGCAGAGGUUUGCACGUUCAUCUCGGACAGAGGCAAGGAGAUUUUCAAGAUCCCAUACCCCCAGCGAGUGUUUGCAAAGGUCCGAGGGAUCAUGACACCCAGGUACUCCACCAAGUUCUUCGAGAGAAUCCUCAAGCAGCACUUGGUCCGAGGUGGUGGCGAUGGCAGAGAUCUCACGCUGGAUGACACGCUCAAGCCCAUCGUCAUUCCCUGCUACGAUCUCACAAACGCCAGCGCCUUUUGCUUCUCGCGAAUCUCCGCCAACUUCAAGCUCUGGGAGGUUUGCCGGGCUACCACGGCGGUUCCAUCGUUCUUCAAGCCCAUCCACGUCUCGUCCGUGGAUGGAAAGCACGAGUUCACGGCAGUCGACGGUGGCCUGGUGGUGAACAAUCCCACCGCCGCGGCGAUCACGCAUGCUUUGCACGACAAGGCUCGCUUCCCGGGUGUCCGAGGGGUGGAAGACAUGCUCGUUCUAUCGCUCGGCACCGGACAGUUUGAUCAAACUUACCGCUACAACAAAGUGGAGCGGUGGGGAGCUUUCCAGUGGGCCAAACCCAUUGCCAAGAUCAUCAUGGACGGAAUCUCGGACAUGGUGGAUCACACGGUCAGCAUGGCGUUUAGCAGGCACCGAGAGAAUUACGUGAGGAUUCAGGUGGGUUAUCUAUCGUUGAGAGUUUGCUUUGACGAACGACUAAAGUUUGUUUGCUUUGCUUCCAGAUGUCUGGCUUGCCGGGCAAAGCUCUCCUCGCAAUGGACGAUCCAAGCCAGGCCAACGUGAAGACACUAACCGAGAUUUCUACUCGGCUCUUGGACCAAAAGAGCUCGGAACACAUCCCGUUUAACGGGCGAAGAGUUUUGGAAGAGAGUAACAGACAGAAGCUGGACUGGUUUGCCGAGCAACUCGUGGCAAACACUCCAUCGUAAUCGAUUGAAUAUAGUUUCUUAUAUACAGGAUCUUUCAUAUGCACAACGAUGCGAAGCUUUUUACACAAUCUACAGGGCUUGGGCGGUACUCGAGCAUGCCUCCGCGCUAGCAGCAGCCAUGCGAGGUACGUCCACUCCUUCGUUGCAAAGAUUUGCAAACGCUCUCAUGUGUUUCAUGCCAUACUGUCCCAGCAAACCACAGCUCGUCUCGAAAGCUUGCACCUAAAAGUCACAUCACAGAGAGAAGAUCAUCGAAAAGAUCACACAAAGUUCUCGAAGAACACUUGCCAGCGAUUUCAGGCACGUCCAAUCGUCCACGAGCGCGAGGCCGGAGCCCCGGACGGUGCUUAGAACUUUGGAUGCCGCAGCCUUGGAGCCAAACAGACGCUCGCCAACUCGAUCCACGCUCUCGUCGACGUGCUGUCUGUGAGCCAAGGCGUUCAUCAUCCUCUCGCGAGCUUCUCGUUUGGAGUCACUUCCAUCCUUGGCUCGGCGAUACUACACUCGACGAAACGAUGCGAUCAUCGAUCUAGAAAAGAAAAGUUCUUCUCUUCGUACCUUGCUCCACAGGUGUAGCAAAUCCGCAUCACGCUGGCUAACACCAUUGGCACUGCUCGGGAUGAUCAAGUCGCCAUUGCCAUCCGCGAUUGCGGGAUCAAAGCCCAAGAACAUGGAAAGCGGGUUAGAGUUGAGCUCCACGUCGCCGUAUUGCAUUACGUGUGAUCCGGCCUCGUAAGUGUUGUGAUUCGAGGUUCUAUCUUUCACCUGCAAGAUCGAAGUAAAAACCAAGAGAUCCCGAUCGAUUCAGCAAACUCACGUCUAGAUACUGUUGAAGUAGCGUCUCCCUCUUGAGAUUGUGAACUUCGCUGUUUGGAAGAGAGAUCCCGUAAGCUCAAACGUCAAAAAAACUUAGAACUUUAGAAGAACCUGUCCUCCAUCCAAGCGACGCUGUAGAGAUCUCCCAAGCAAGUAUCAUACUCAGGAGGAGCCGAGGGUACCAUUCCAGGGCAGUAAGUUCCCCAGCUGCUCUCGAUCGCGUUGGAAGCAGUGGUAACGUAAAGACCCAGUCCCAGUGGAAGCAAUCCCUCGACCAUGCUGCCACUCUCGCAAGCCUCGAUAUAUAUCACCUAAAGUUGGCAGCUCGAGUAGUAGCAUCUUCUUUAGCUCACGACGAACAAAGAAAGAACAAAGAUGAAAAGAUCUUUACCAUUUCUCUGUAGCCUCCGGAUGCGUGCUUCUUCUUGAUGACGUCGAUGAGAUCAUUUGCGUAGAGAUUCGACUCUCCGGGCAUUCCUGUCAAGCACGACAAGCUAAGUUGUUUGUCUUUCUCGAGUCUAGAACAAAGAAGGAAUCACCGAGAACUCCAGGGCCUCCGUGAUCCGAGUAGAAGAGAAAGACAUGAUCUUCCGGCCCGCUGCUCACGACUUUGCCAGUUCCGCCGCUGGUGGAAUUCUUGUCCCCGAGAAGAACAGCCAGGAAAUUCUCGGCGGUCACGGCAGCGCCCGUGUAAUCCUGGCCACAGAACAAUCAAUCAAUAACGUAACUUCCAAGAAAUCCGCGAACAAGUCAAAACUCCUUCACCUUUGGAACUCCGGCAUAAACGUCGGAUCCUUGGGGAUGAUUGAUGAUCGUUCCCGGGCGAGGAUUGUCCGUGUUGUUGGCUAUGUCGUCGAACAUCAUCACCACAAUGUUUUCCUCCUUGAGACCAUUGCUGCGCAGCAACUGGUAUGCAUGGCAAACAUCCGCCUGGAGGAAAGAGCAGUUUGGAAGCAAACAAGAGCAAACGAAGAACUUAGAACAAGAAGGAAGCGAAGAACAUAGAGAAAGAAAGCGAUGGAAAGACUCCUCUCACCUGGUGCCUGUAGUUGCCAAACCCGGAAGAUCCAGCAACUAGCAGCGCCCACCUCGUCCCGGACGCAACUUCCUCGCUCGAGGGCAUGCGAAUUGGAUUGUGGGCUGCGAAAAAGUCCAGUGGCCUGGCCGCCGCCACCGCCACCGCCACCAUCGCUAGAACCAGCCACAGGAAGAAUCCCACUCCCAUGACGGCGAUCUCUCUCUCGAGAACGAAAGAAAGAAAGAAAACCAAAGGGUUACGAGAGAGCUUGAGUCUCUCUCUCUCUCCCUUUAUCGUGAACAGUACGAGAGUGACACCACCUAAACUCCCAAAACUCUAGCCAAGACUGUCGAGGAAUCCAUCGACGUCGGCCUUGAUGGUGCUUAGAUCCGCCUCGGCGCUCAAGCUCAGCUUGCCAUCGCUCACGCUCACCAGCACCUUGGCCUGGAACGCGUUGGCGUAGGCAUUGGGAUUGCAAAACAGCUCGAAUCCCACCUCCUCGCCAUCGCCACCAUCGCCACCAUCGCCAGCGCUGUAUGCAAACUCGACGCUCUUGAGCCUCUUGGGCCGCCCUCCUUCCUCGUGCGCCUGCUGCUUCUCCCGGAACGUCUGGAUCAAUGCCUCCAUCGUCCCGCUCAGCGCUCGCGCCUUGUCCAUCGACAUCGGCAUUGUGAUGGACGUCUCGCCAACGUGAAGCGUCAAGCUCUUGGACGCGAUCGUCGUCGCCCCCGCGGCUACCAAAACACACUAAAAAUCCCACCUUUGCCUCGAAUUCGACAUCUCACCUGCGCUGGGAUUGCCGUUGGAGCUCGAGCAAGCGGUCGGCAAUGCGGUGUGCCUGUGUGACAAGAACACUCUGGGAAGAGCAACCAUGCCCGCCAUAGCCAUUGUUCUUCCGGGCCACAAAAACUAACAAACCCUCGAUCUUCUUCCUCUCUAUCUUAGCUCCAAAUGGCGGCAGCGAUCAAAUGGGACGAUGGCUUCCCCAAGUUCGAUCUCGACUCGUUUAGCUCCAAGAGGAAGCGAUCGCUCAAGAGAUCCUCCAAGAACAACUGGCUCCAAAGAUCGCUGCAGUGGAUCGAGGAGAGGAACCUGGGGCCGGGCGGCGGCGCUGGGAUCGGGUGUGGAGUUGGGCUGGGAUUGGGCGUGACGGGAUCGCUAGGACUGGGCGCUGGAUCCUGGAACGAUCUCCGUGUCAUCUUCGGAGUAGGCGCCGGGUGCGGCGUUGGAAUCGGGUAUGGAAUCGGGCAUGGGCUUGGCUUUCUCUGGGAUAGGCCACCACCAUCGCCACCACCACCAAAACGAAAUUUUGUCUCGUGAUUCUUCUUCCUCCCAAGAACAAGAAUAAGAUCUCUUACGUUCGAUUUCCAUAGCUAAAGCUAGAAGAUAGAAUCGUUCCAUAGCUACGUAGAAGAAAGCUAACUAGAAGAUAGACUACGUAGAAGAAAGCUACCUAGAAGAUAGACUACGUAGAAGAAAUCUAAGAAGCUCCAUAGCUCAUAUGAAUAUGGACCAAGGUCUCCAAGUAUAUACAAACCGGGUAAAAAUCCCAUCUUGCUCGAUCUUCCUCCAUUUCAUCUCUCGCGAGCUUCACGAUCUUGCCGGGCAUGGCCGGAGGAUCGCCCCCAUGUCCGUCUUGUACGCCUGGCGGCACCCCGGGCAUCGCCCAUCAUCCGACGCGAUCCGGUGGUGGCAAAACAAGCACAGCCGGAAGCCACACGCGCAAGGCUGAAACGAGGAAUCGGUGCUGUCCAGCUCCUCCGUGCAAAUCGGGCAGCACGCCGGCCCCGCGCUCGCGGCCGCCGCCGCUACCGAUCUCGCGAAGAAAUCCCUGUGCCUGUUCGUCACCCACGCCGCUGGCGGCCGCGGCGGUGGCGACGCUACUCGUCGCUCCACUCCAGUCGGCCUGGGAAGCAGCGGCGGUAGCGAGCUCGGGGCGAUGAUCCUGGGAAGGCUGGCCGGACGGAACGUAUCCUCAACCUUCCAAGCUGCGACGGCGGCUGGCGGAGAGUUCCUGGCGUCCUGGUGGUGGAUCAUCCUGUCGUCCCUGUGCCUGUUCACCACCAUCGCCACCUUUUCCUUCUCGGCCGGAUCCUUGUUGAGAUUCAUCUGGGAGUCGAGAGCGUCGGCCGCGGCCUCCCAAUCCUCCUCCUCCUCCUCCUCUCCCCCAUCCUUUCCUUUCUCUCCACCGAGAACUUUGUCACAGUCCCCGGAAGCUUUGUUCUUGCUCUUGCUCUUGCCUUUCCUGCCAGAUCUUCUCUUCCCUCCCUUGCUGCUCAUGUCGGGAGGAUCCAACACCACGCCCCUCUGACUAGAGCAAGAAAUGGAUGAUUUACUUACACUCGAGUUAAAAUUACAGGAGAGGAGGUCGAGCGGCCCACCGUCGCACAGAUCGUCGUGGUUGAUCACGCACGACUCGGCGUCACUGUCGCCUCCGGUGCUCGAUCCGUGGAGGUGUUGCUCCUCACCCAACUUGGGCGAUGGGCUCUCAAGCACGGAAUUCGGAGACAAGCUCGCCACAAGCUUCCCUACACAGGAAAAAAAGGGGGAAAAACCAUUCACUCCAUCCAUCCACCCAAGCGAGAAAGGAAGAAAAAGUCUGUGUCGCCUACCUUGAGAGAGCCAUUGCUCGCGCCGGGCAUCCAGCUUGAACUGCUUGAGCUUGGCGUUCCUGUUCACCUGCGCAAGAGAAGGAAGGAGACCAUGAAUUAGGGUUUAGAGGAAACCGUGGGAGCGCUGCCAAAUCCUUACCCUCUUUCGCUUGCUGGCGUCGCGGGCGAGGAGCGAUUCCAAGGGGAGCUGGCUCGCGUCCAUGGCGAUGGCGAUGGAGCUGGAAGAAGAGAUUUUCGCGAUUUUGUUGGAAAGAGAGAAAGGGUAGGAAGGAAGGAGGAGAUAUCAAAUAGUAUAACGAAAAAGCACGGCCGCGGCGGCGAAGAGCCCACUGAUGAUUUAACGGAGGAGGAAGACGACACGCCAAACCGGAUUGGACGGCCAGGAUUGCUUCCGUUUGACCGAAGCAAGCUCCGAGCCGAUGAAGCAUUCGCUGACACGUGGCAUCAUCGUAUAUGAUCUUUUUCUUGGCGAGUUGCGUGUUCGAUGCCUGACAGGGGAAGAAAUUAUAUUAACGGAUAAAAAAGAAAGUGCCGUUACUCGCAGGAAAGUCAAUACAGGAAUAUACCUCCUUCACUCGAACUUGAAAUUAGGGUUCUAGCGCAGCAGGCAUGGUGAUCUUGCGGCGGAUGCGCACGCUUCUCUUUCCGCCCUUCCUGGCACUCUUGGCGAUCAUCUUCUGGAGCGCCUCUCUUCAGAUCCCGAGCGCCUCUGUUCUCGAUUUCGAGUGUCUCGUGUGUCAUGGCGUCAAUGUCGUCAAAAAUCCAUUGUGGCAAUUGGGCGCGCUCAGCCUCGAGAGGGAUCCGCCCAAGCAGCGAUCCGAGAGCGAGAUCGUGGUAGCCAGCGACAGCGUAACAGGGCUGCCAAGUCUAGAUGAUCAAGAUCGCGUCUUUCAGCUGGAAAUUCCUUCUACUUCUGCGACGGCAUCAGCUGAUUUGGAAGGCGGUGAAGAUGAGAUUGACAAACAAAAGGAGAUUGGUGAAUUCUUCCAGGAGCUCCAAAGGAAUUCAUCGUCCACUAUAGCCGAUCGUAACAGCACUCUUGAAGAUUCCAGCCAAGCAGGGGAGAGGCCGCUACAACCGCCCAACGAUCCAUCAAUAGCUCGAAACGCUUCCAUUAAUCCCCCUUCUAUAAGUUCCUUGACAGCUGAUGGUCAAGAGGAGAAGCGUGCGAUCCAGGAGGUGGAGCGACUUAUGCAAUUCUUGCGAAGAUCAGGAUCAGGCCAGGUAAAGAAGUCUCCACAGGAUUGUCAGGGAAGAAACGUCUAUGUCUACGAUCUUCCACCCAAAUUCAACGCGGAUCUCCUCAAGCAAUGCGAAACUCUGCUGCCAUGGAUGAGCAUGUGUGAUUUCGUCCGCAAUUCGGGAAUGGGUCUUCCAGUUUCGAUCGACGCCGCUCGCGAUUUCCUCACUCCUCGCGGAUCUUGGUUCAAGACGCACCAGUACGCGCUGGAGAUGAUCUUCCACGCCCGGAUCCUCGACUACUCCUGCCGGGUGCUCGAUCCAUCCCUCGCCGACGUGUUCUACGUGCCCUACUACGCCGGCCUGGACGUGAUGCGAUCGAAUUUCAUGCCCAACGUGAGCAGCGCACAGCGCGACGUGUUGGGCGACGAGCUCAUGACAUGGCUGACUAAGCAGCCGUCCACGUGGAAAACGGGCGACCGACGUGACCAUGUCAUAGCUCUGGGAAAAAUCUCCUGGGAUUUCAGGCGUAUGACAUCGGACGCAAGAUGGGGGAGUAAUCUCCUCGCUCGCGCCGACAUGGCCAACGUCACCAAGCUUCUCAUCGAGCGCCACCCCUGGCACCCCAAUGACGUGGGCGUGCCACAUCCCACCUUCUUCCACCCGGGCUCGGACGCGGACAUCACGACGUGGCAGGCUCGCGUGCUCCGGGACGACGUCCGGCCGAGCCUCGUCGCCUUCGCGGGCCAGCCCAGGCCCGGGCAGGCGGGGAGCAUCCGUGGGGAGCUGAUACGGCAGUGUACGGCUCGCUCGGACCUGUGCCGGAGCUUGGACUGCGGCUCCAGGGCUUGCUUUGGUCCCGAGGCGACUCUAGGUUUGUUUUUAGCCUCGGAUUUUUGCCUCCAGCCAGUUGGCGACAGCCCGACCCGGAGAUCUGUGUUUGAUUCGCUGCUGGCCGGCUGCAUUCCGGUUUUUUUCGACCCCUUCACGGCCUACUACCAGUAUCCAUGGCAUCUUCCGUCAAAUGGUAGCGCAUAUUCUGUUAUGAUCGCGGCAGAUUCUGUUACCGACGUGGAUAUCGUGGGCGAGCUCCAGAAGAUUCCAUUCGCACGGAGGAAGGAGAUGCGGCAUUUCAUUGUCCACGAGAUUCUCCCCGGGAUCGUCUACGCGCAGCCGGGAUCCAAACUGGAGAAAUUCGAGGACGCUUUCGACGUUGCCAUGAAAAACGUGAUUGCCAGGGUCGCUUCGAGAGAGAUUUACGAUUCCAGCGAGCUCAGAUGAUCGAUCACCCAAAGUUUGCUUGUUGUAUAGAUUUAUAAACACAAUGACACACACACGACACAUUCUUUUAUAUCUCUUUCUUCACGGCAGCAAAAGCAAAUGGUGUUCCACAUAAGACUUAUACAAAGUGUUCUUCCGUUCUCACAUCAUCUUUGUUUUUGCUAUCCAUCUUGGACGGCUCAUAAAUUAAUCCUUGAGGACUCCAAUGGGAAGUAGAAGAACGAUGGAUCCAUCCAUCCCAUCACUCCCGCAGCUCGAGCUCGAGCUCUAAAGCCAGGCCGCGGUUUGCUAGAUGCUACAACUCCCAUUCACUUCAUGCCUCGGCCCAGAGCGUGGAGAGGAAGAGCUGUCGAACGAACUUUGAUCGAACGCUUGCCUCUUCCAGCUUCUGCUCUCUCUCUUCGGCCGUGAGGGAGCAUUCAGCACUGUUAAGAUCCAAAAAAAUCGCAACUUGAUCAGCAACUGCUGCGAGAAAUCACUUUCGUAUACAAAGACAUACCUUAGCUCGGCUGGAGCUGUGGAAGUAGCAAGAGAAACCGAGUCCGAGUUAUCCAAGCUCAGCUUGGAAGAAUCGUCAAUCUCGGAUAUGGGCAUGUUACAGACAAGCGUGGACAAGAAGAGAUCCGGAAUUCCAGAUCCUGUCCUUGCCGGAGAGCACGCUCCCAGGAGAGCCUGCAAGUGUGCUUGAUUCAUGUCCUUCCCACUGAAGGGAAAUCCGGAAUGGGACGUGAUUCCCGGCCUCCUAAACUUGCGACGCCUCUGAAAGUAAGCUUCUCGUCAAGGAUAAUACAAACGAGGAACCGGAACAAAGAUAAGAAAACCAACUUUUUCGAAGGAUAUCUUGAAGAGAUUUCCGUGAUGAACUGUGAUAUGGCUGAUCAUGUCCUUCCCGACUUUGGCAGCACACACGGGACACAGCUAUAGACACAGAAACGCAAAGAAUCAAAAUCCACGAAGGAAGAAGAAGAAAAAAAAGAGAAUUUUCUUACCACAGGUCUUGAUUCGGAGAAAUGCUCGUCCUCCAGGUGAGAACACAGAGAGAGCAAGUCCAGUCCCUCGAAACAGUAUGGACAAGCAAAAUCCGGUCUCAGUUCCUCAUCGCCCUCCACAUCAUCCACAGUGAAGUGCUGAUCUGCAUUGCGAGCGCAGAAAACCAAUGUAACACCCACGAAAAAAUUCGAUAGUGGAAAAGGAGGAGAAGAGAGCUUUAUAGCUUACCCAGCAUCGAAUGAACGGCGUACUGGCGCUUAGAAAGCAAGCGAGCUGCCCACAUAUCGCCCUCCAUGCUUGCUUCCGCUGCGAAUGCGGCCGAACGGCGAUGAGCACCUCAAAACCCUGGUCAAUCCCGGCCCGCCGCUGCAACCACACACGAUUCUUGCGACGGCCGCGCACACGAGAGGAAUCGCGACAUACCGGAGGGGGGAAAUCGAGAAUGCCGCCGCGGCGUCGCUAUCUGGGCGCACACAAGCUUCCCUCUUGUGUGGAUAUGGCGUCCCCGAACCUGGACUGGGAUCCCAGACCUAGAAUCCCGAACCUGCGGUUACCGUGCCACGCGGCCGCGGCGAUCUUUCCAUUUUGCAACCGCAAAAACAUUAUAAGGCUAUCAUAGACACGUGGCGCGGAGCCAUUGGCUGCAGUAGUUGACUUCGCCGUGGGUACUGUACGAAGAACAGGGUAAAAAAGCGGCAUUACUUUCUCUUUCACUUGGAAAUCCAGUAAAGGAACAUCAAGAAAGUGCAAACUGAAAUCACGGCUGACAAGAUCAAUGUGUCCUGGUUUUUUUUUCUUCGAAUCGCAACUAGAACAUGGUUCACCUGGAAAGCACGCAUCAAAAAAGGAUUUUUUUUUUAUCCCCACACUGAUCGAUCUGCGAACUUCUUACCGACGGUAGAAUCGAUCCUACGUUGUUGAUCUUGAAUCCGAUCGUUCCAAACAAGCUUCGCUGCGUGGACAGCGCGCUGAGAGCUGCGUGUGCUUGAUUCACGACCGAGUCUAUCUGAGAACCAAGUCACUGUAAGAAAAAAAGGAAGUAACUUUGUCUAGAUCUUAGAAGAACCUGAGCAGUAGAUCUCUGGAUGGAGCUCCUCUCUUGCACAAGGGGAUCAACUUCCAAUCUUCUCUCCGAUGGCGAUCGAAAAGAGUGGAGCAAUUCGGCGUGCUCGCGAUUGUCUUUGGCAAUAGCUCGUUUCCUCUUAAACUCCUGCGAGAGCUCUCACUAUGUCAAGGAGAAAAGAAAGUUCUUUCUCAUACAUUUUCUUACCUGGACGAACUCGUGAGAGAUGUUUAGAUGGCGUGCCAAGGUAUGAGAAACAAUGUCAGAACCGAUCGCUGACAUCAAAGACUGCAUACUCGAAUUGAUUUGCUGGAGUUGCUUGAGCAGCCUCUCGAUCUCCGCUUCACAAUCCUCCCCCGACUGAUCUGGCCGCCCAAAACUCGCAAGCUUGGCAUCGAUCUCAUUCUCCAGCCUUCGCGCCUGGCAUUAAACCCUUAGAGAGAAUUCUCACGGAUCAAGCGCCCAUUGCUCACCUGCUUGCGGAGAUCGUCCCAUCCGACUCCGGCGAAGCUCGGAUCCACCGCCAUUUUCUUUCUUCUUCUUCCUCACGAACCCUAAUUGGAAGCCCUAGUCAGUGACAAAAAAAGAGAAGAUACCAAAAUUUCAAAUUCAAAUUCAAACCAUUCGCGGCAAUCGAUCGAUCAAUGAACGCCUCCAAAAACGAAGAAGAUCUCUCUCCCGUGAAACUCGAGUGGGUCCUCAAAUCGAUCGUGAGCUUUUUUUUCUCGGAAAUUCAACGUGAUCGCACGUAGCUCACUCAAUGGUAUAUCUUUGAGCGCUCGCGCGAUCUCCCGAGCGAUGGCGAAAUGGAGCAGCAAAGAAGAUUGGGACAAACAACGCCAGCGCCAAAUCCAAAACCUGUUCCUCACGGUUCUGUGCCUCAGCCUCGCCGUUCUUCUCAUCGCUGUGCCUCGGGAAUACAGAACAACGCAGACCUUCUCGAGUAAGAGCUAGAACUUUUGACAGAGAUUCUUGGCUUACUUGUGAUCGAGCAGGAGCGAGCGAAAGGAUCGAAUCCACAGGUAAGUCCGGUGCUACGUCGAAGAAAACCGUGGAGGAUGGUGUUGCCUGUGAUCUUUCAAACUAUCGCACAGCAGUGUGUCGCCUCGCUGGUGAUCUGAGAAUCAGCGGCAGCACGGUGACACUGUUUAGUCCUCGCAACACCGACGAGGAGAUCCUCGUCCAAAAGAUCAAGCCAUACCCGAGAAAGUGGCAGAAGCAGCUGCUCGAAAAGAUUAGCGAGGUGACGAUCAAAGUGAGAAGAUCCAGCUCCUCAACUCCACAGCACCAGUGUGAUGUCAACCACACGCAAGCCGCCAUGAUCUUCUCGACUGGAGGCUACACCGGAAGUGUCUACCACGACUUUAACGAUGGUCUCAUCCCCAUCUAUAUCACCUCGCACGGAUUCGAGGGCGAGGUUGUGUUCUUAGUCUCCGAGUUUCAGCCGUGGUGGAUGAAGAAGUACGGUAGCAUUGUCAAGCAGAUGACCAAGUACCCCGUCCAAGACUUUUCCAGCAACCCCGCGCAGCACCGCGUCCACUGCUUCCCCAAAGUCGUGGUCGGUUUGGACAUUCACGACGAGCUUGCCAUCAAUGCCGCAAAGAUGUCGCAUGGAAAGUCCAUCCGAGACUUCCAAUCCAUCCUCAGUGCUGCCUUCUCGGCCUCGGACAGUCGGACCAAAGUUCCAAGCACCAGGCCGAAGCUCGUCUUCAUCACUCGGCGAAGAACUCGGGUUGUCACCAACGAGGAAGAAGUGGUCCAGCUUGCGGAGAGAGCUGGAUUUGACGUCGAGGCUCUGGAACCCGGAUUCAACCACGAGAUGGCCAAUCUUUACGGGAUCAUACAGUCGGCCGACGUUCUUCUCGGUGUCCAUGGAGCAGCAAUGACACACCUGCUGUUUAUGCGACCGGGAUCACUCCUCCUCCAAAUCGUUCCACUUGGAACCAAGAGCCCGUCUCGGUCGUUCUAUGGAAACCCGGCCAUGAAAGCUGGUAUGCAGUAUAUGGAGUAUAUCGUCGAAGCCAGUGAGAGCAGCCUGUUGAAACGCUUUGGACAGAACCACUCCGUGAUUGUGAGUCCUCCAGAGAAUCCAGGAUCGUCUUCCGGGUGGAGCGAUAUGAAGAAGAUCUAUCUCGACAAGCAGAACGUUACUAUCUCGCUUUCGAGGUUCGAGCCAGUUCUUCGAGAAGCCUUUGAGAAAAUCUCAUCUCUGUGACCGACGUGGAUCCGGCAGCGCAGCAUGUAAAGAAAGUUCUUCCCCUCGGAGUGGUUUGUGAUGAGUUUUCGUUUCUUCCAGCUAGCCAGCGUUGAUGAUCCCAGCUAGAACAACAUACGGAGCUGCCUUCUGCGGAUUGAGAUGAGAGACCAACUUCGUUCCUCGGCCCCGAUCACUCUGGAGCUUGCAAGAACUCAGCAGAGCUGUCCACUGGCCGGUACCGGGAAUGAACGGCAUGCUUCCGAUGAGAUCUUCCGCCUCGUUGAGCUCUCCUGCUCGUCCCAAAAUGUCGAUCAUCAGACCGUAAUGCUCCCUCGCGGGAUUCACUCCAUGGUCGCCAACCAUGGAGCUAAAGCAGCACAACGCGUCUCUCAGCACCCCAGAGUGAGUGAAACCACUCAGUGUGCUCAUCAUCGUCAUGUCGUCGGGGUGGAACCCUUCCACCACCAUUUGCAGCUCCAGAUCCAGCGCCAACUUCCCUCUGCCCGAGUUUGAAAACACCGAGAUGAUCGUGUUCCAGGAUGCCGUGUUCUUCGCAGGCGUUCGAUCGAAUAUGAGCUUUGAUGAUCCAACAUGGCCGUUGUGAGCGUAGGCAGCAGCCAGAGCGUUCCAGGAGACCACAUCCGGCUCUGGAAUCUGGUGAAAGAACUCCAUCGUCUCCUUGAGGAACAAUCCUUGAGAGAAUCCAGUGAGCAUCGCGUUCCAGGAGACCAGGCUGUGUAGAGGCAUCGAAUCAAACACCGUCUUGGCGCCGAGAGCAUCGUAGUGCUGUGCAAAAGCCGCGAGAAGAGCGUUCCAGGACGAGACAUCCCACCGCGGCAUGAGAUCAAACAAAACUCUUGCCUUCUCCAGUUCCCCAUUGAAGGCAUAACCAGCGAUCAUCCCAUUCCAGCUGACGAUGUUCCUCUCUUGCAUCUCGUAAAAGACCUCCUCCAUCUUCCUCACUCGCCGGAAGCUCCCAUAGGCCGUGAUCAUCCCAUUGCAAGAGAUCACAUCCCAAACAGGCAUCCUCCAGAAGAGCUGCUCGGCUGACUCCAGAUGCCCAUUCUGGGCAUACGCUGCGAUCAUCGCAUUGAGCGCCACGACGUUGAAGCACGGGAUCCUGGCGAAGAUUUCUUCUGCCCUGGCGAGAUUACCUCUGUCGGAGUAGGCGCUGAGCACGGCACUGCUGGAGCACACAUCCCACUCCGGCAUCGCCUCGAAAGCCGCGAUGGCGCCAUCGAUCUGGCCGCUGUGAGCGUAGCACCCGAUUAGGGUAUUCCAAGACACGAUGUUCUUGAGCGGCAUUGCAUCGAACAGAGCCCUGGCGGCGUCGAUCUCCCCGUUCCUGGCCAGCGCCUGGAACAUCGCGGUGCUGGACACGAUAUUCCACUCGGGCAUCGCAUCGAAGAGCUCCUUGGCGAGGACGAAUUGCCCGCUCUCCGAGUAGCCCUGGAGCAGCGAUGUCCACGAGAUGAUGCUCCGGCACGGCAUUCCGGAAUCGAACAGGCCCUUGGCCUCGCCCAGAUGGCCGUUGGAUGCGAGCGCGUGGAGCAUCGCAUCGCGCGCCACGCUAUUCCGGAAUGGCAUGGAAUCGAAGAGAUCCCUGGCCUCCUGCAAAUGCCCAGCCUGGGAAUAUGCGACUAGCAGCGCGGUAUCGGCCAUCACAUUCCUCUCCGGAAUCCUCUCCAGCAAAUCCCGCGCUUCAUCGACAUGCCCAUUCCGGGCAUAUGCGGUGAUCAUCAUCGUCCACGAGAACUCGUUUGGGUUGUCAAUGCCAUCGAAAACCCGGCGCGCGUUGGCCACACUCCCGCAUUUGCCGAACAUUUCAAUGGCGAGAUUGCGAAGGUAAGUGCUGCUGCGGCAUCUGCUGGAGAGAAUCGAGGCAAAGAUUGCAUUUGCCCUGACGGGGUCAUUUUCCACACCGCAUUUCCUCAGUAGCAGCGCAUACUUAUCCUCGUCAACCAGGAACAUGAGAGUUCUAAGCCGUGUUCCUUUUGCAAGUGGCAAAUAUGCCAAAAACUUGUAUAAAUGUAAAUAUGUUCUGUUUUAGAUCUUAGAGCGCCCACCUUGCUAGAUUUAUUGCUGACCUUGUCAAAGGUCUAGCAAAUGUAUGAAGAACAACUUACUCGUGAACAGUCGUGUAAACAGUGGAGUGAUAAUGGAGAGAUUUGGAAUGAUCCCAGCUCGGGGAUCUUGGAUCUUGGACCUUGGUGUUACGUACACGACAAGCUAUAAGAAUUUGUGGGUUGGUCGUACGUACGGAAGCAAAAGCAAAGUGUUUGAUACCUAAUCGAAGAUCAUUCUUUCAAUAGCCAAGCAAGGUGGCGGGGAUCCAUAAGUUGGCGCAAGUUUCCGAGGCGCGCAAGCUAGCAUCAACGCUUCGUGGACACAUGGACCGUAUCAAACACUGCUCAAGAUUUUUCUCGCGAGUUACGUGGCACCACUCAAGCGCAGCACAUCUAGAUCUUCUGGAAGUUUAAUUAACUCAGACACGAGCAAUAGUUAAUCUUUUAUUAACGAACUCAAUCUUAGAGAAAUUAAACUAGAGGCUCGGGCAUUUGGAUUGGCCGCGACUGUGUUGCCAUUGCUCGAGUGAUUUGAUCAAAGUUUUCAAGGUUUUGUCGCUGAUUAUAGACGAGGUUUUUGUGUGGUGCUCACGGGUGACGUGACGUGACGGGCGGGAUCCUUGGGUUGCGACGGGCCACAAGCGCGUCAACGCUUCACAAGCACAGUGCCACCCGUCAAUCUCCCAGCCACUCUACCUAUAUGGGCACGCAUCACCCCACCAUUUCUCUUCGUCUCUCUCUUUUCUCUCUCUCUUCUCUCGCACUAGUUCUUCGCUGGCUUCUCUCGCGAUCGGUGCCUUCUCUGGGCGAUUCUCUUGAAUCUGGCAGCUUGAUGCUGCCGCGGGGACGAUUCGCGAGCGCGCGAGCUUCCCGAAGAUUCCACUCUAGGUCUGGCGGCGCUUUUCUUUCUUCGAUCGAGCAUUGAGGUAUGAAUGCCUUCUUGUGCUUGGAUUUCUUCUCUCUUUCUCUCUCUCUCGUGCUAAUUCUUGCUUGGGCUUUGUUUUCCAGAAGUUUUGUACCAGCGGCUAGCUUAGAGCUACAUUAUUUUUCUUCGCGUCCCGCGAAAACAGUGUUUUUUUCUUCUUCUUCUUCUUCUUCCUCUAUUGCCUCUUUUGUGGAAAAUAACAAAAGAGCCCGUUUUGUGGGUACGACUUUGUGGAUCAUUGACUCUGGGUGGAGAUCAAACUUAUCCCUUACGCAAGUGUCUUACAUUUUCUUUCCCAAAAAGGUUUCCAAGUUCCAAGCACACACCAUGGGCUGUGCGCUCACCAAAACCGAGGACGAGCACAACUCGGUGCAAGCUCCCGUCCAGACCGAGGAACUCUGCGUCUUCUCGCCCGGCUUGCGGCUCCCAAAGUCACUGGAACUCGCAAACUCGGAUCACCUCCUCCAGGCCUCUGCGAGAAAUUUGCUGGAGAGAUUGAUGAGCGUCCACUCGAGACUUGCCGCCGCGGCGCAAGAGCUCGUCUCUACAAAGAAACUCAAGAAAAAGAGGUCUUCGCUAACUGGUAACCCGUGCAUUCUCUGCAGAUUCUCUCGAUCAUCAAACUGACUGUUUGUUUGUCCAUUGUGAUCGUGUUAGUCUCGAACAUAACACAGCUUAAGGAGGCCAUUGACGACUACUUACCAGUUCUUCUCAAGCUCAUCCGGAAAGGUACGCUUAAGUUACGCGAAAAGCUUUCGGUCUUCUUAGGAUUGUCCAAACUUACCCUUUGGUUUUCGCUCUAGAGCCACGGUUGGCCGACCAAGUUCUGUUCACUUGGACAAACCAAGAGGACGAGAUAAAGGUGCGGGAAGAACUGUGCUUGUUUGCAUCUCCUCGUCUUUUGUCUAACUUUUGGGAAAUCUCUCUUUUGUACGUCGUUGAUUGCAGGAAACGACGCUGCAAAGCCCGUAUUACGAAGUGCUGUCUGUGCUACAGCUCCUGGCGACGCUCUCGCUGCUGGAAGCGAACAGGGCUCUCUUGUUUAAACCUGUAAACUUGGAAGCCAGCCAUCACAGGCAGAUCAUGGACGGUAAGAGCCUUGAAUGCGUUCCUUUAUUUUGUAGAGCGCGACCUUUACCUCUUUCUCCAACAGAAACCAAGAAGUCUGCCAUGGAUGUUCUAUUCAAAGCUGCAGAGAUAUUGGAAUGCGCGCUUAAAUCUGUCCUCCCUCAAGCCCCUCGUGAAGUAAGGUGAGUUUAAAGUCUGCUAAAUUGGUGUUCCAGAGCUCGUUCGUUGUCUGAUCUUGUUUUUCUUGUUUAAAAACUAGCAGGAAUCAGCUGCCAGUGGACUUAAAGGAGGGCACGCUGCAGGCAAUGCAGCUCCAAGCGCUAGGACAGGUGAGAGACAGCAAAAAAAAACACUCUUUUUUCCUUUAGUUUUUUGUCGUAGCAGUGCAGUGAUAUUUAUUUUUCUCUGGACUGCUUUUGCUCAGACUGUUGAGAUCCAACUGGGCCUGGCAGUCGACAAUCCGAAAGCAACCAUGGCAGUGAAGCGUCGAUUAGCAUGCGAGGAGCUCAAGUACUGGCAACAGGCUUGUUUCUUUGCUCGAUCUCUCUCGCUCAACUCCAAAAACUAAACUUUUUCCUUCAUUGUCUUUUGCAGGCCUACGAGAACUUGCAAGCUGUAAACCUGGGAAAUGGAUGGGGUGACAAGCAUUUACUUUUCAUCAGAUGGAAACGGGCCGAGGCCAAGGUAAGCAAUCUAAGCAAAGUUGAUCCCAGCAAUCUAAGCAAGAGUUUUUGCCUUCUGUGGAUCAAAGGUCGCAGCUUAUUACUUCCACGGCCUGAUCUUAAACGAGAGCAGUGACAGCCAAGGCGCAGCAGCCUGCCUCCGGGCGUCGGCACACUUCUUCAAGGAAAGCGAGAGAAUUUGUGGCGACUUUUGUGCAACAGCGCCCAUGACAACGAAGUACGUAGCAAGCAAAACUGUUUGAUGGUUUGUGCAUGGUUGUGGUCCUACGUUUGCCUGCGUGCUUUGGCCUUUCUAUCUUGAUUCUUCUGCCAGUCCUCGCUAGUCUUUCCAUUUUCUCAUUCCGCUUUUCGCUUUCCUUGAUCUAAUGGGAAUGAAACUAAACUCCAAGGGGCGCCGUGUGUGCAGCAGGACACUGGUUGGCAAAUCGCCAUCAUGGGGUCCAAUGAAGCACCUCUCGGAGAAAAUUUCCAAGGACGCAGUAACAUCAACACAGCACGACUUCUUCGAAGACAACAGGUAAGUUCUCGUGCUUUGGUGUAGGUGGUGUUUGGUCUGCUCCAAACACACAGGGUUUUAGAUUCUUGCUCUUGCUCGCUCGCGAAGUUUCUAAAUUCUCUGCUUCUUUCUACUGCCAUUUCCAGAGACAGGAUCGUGGAGCUACCAGAUUUCGCAUUGGCGCUGCAAGUAGACGCGUACCAAAUGCCAGAGGCCGACGAGGAAGGAGAAAUCGACGAGAAAAACUCCGCCGUGGAGCUUGGGAUUCAAAGCGGGCCAUCGUUUCUGACAGAAGAACAAAGUACACAAUACGCAUAGGGGCAAGUCAAGUAAGAAGAAACUCGGGAAAUUUUUUGACUGCGCAGGAGUUCCAAAAAAAGAAAAAGGUGGUAGAAAUGCGUGGUAGCGACGCAAGCAAAUCGCUAGCGCUAGAAGAAGAUGGGCUAUCGACGUCCAUCGCGACUGUAUAUAAAUGUGCGUGUGCUUGGCAAAAUUUCAACGCAAACAAAGUAGUUUGGUAAAAUUCUAGAAGGGAGUCGUGCCGGGUGGGAAUCGAGCCGGGGAUGUGCCGGCGUGGCCACGUUGUGUGCCAGCUGGAGCGCGUGGGCUCGAACCUGGCACCAGUGCCGUCCAGGCUCAACUGGGACCGCCCUCCAGCUCAUGCCCAGCCAUGCGCAUCAUGGCCAUCAUGCCAAUAAAUACCAUCCCAUCCAAUGGAAAGAGAGAGAGAGUAGCGGCCAGCCCUAUCUUCCAUUCUUUGUUCUUGGAGCUUUUUGACAAGAGAGAGAGAGAGAGAAGAGGGAGAGCAGUCGAUCGAUCGGCAUUCUUGCGAGAUUUCUCUCGUCUCCUCCUCCAGCUCUCGAAAUGGCGAGCAGAUCCGCGUUCUUGAUCGUGGCGGCGGUGGUAGCCGUGGCCUCUAUGGCCGACAUUGCCAUGGCGCAGGCGCCCAGCCCCGCUCCAGAGGCCGGCGCCGGCACGGCAUUGGCGAUUCCAGUGCUGGCCGCGGGAUUCCUGGCAGCGCUCGCCAGUUUCUUCCUUUGAUUGGCGCGGAUCGAGCAUGAGCGGCAGCAGCAUUCUUUUUUCUCCCCUUUUUACUUCCUCUUUUCUUCUUCUUCCUCUCUCUCUCUCUCUCUGAUUUCGUAUAACGGAUGGGUCUGCUGGAGAAAUUUUGGGAUCUUUUGUAUCAUACUAUAGCACUACAGGGGCGGCUUCUUCCUCUUCCUCUCUUUUGGUUCUACACUAUCUCUCGUUGGUUCUUGUGGGUGGUGGAUUUGGAAUAGCGGUAGCAGAGUGAUGGAUGGGGAUGGGGGGAGCUGUGGGUUUUCUUCGGCCGACCUUGUUUCGGGGUGUUCUAUUUUGGAUUCUUUGUUUUGAAAUAAGGAACGAUGGUAUUGCUAGAGCACUUAGUACAGACACACCACGACUAGCCUAGAAAACACUCUGUACAGAUUUCCCAUGAAUAUACCAUCAUCUUGCAUUCUACUUCCAAGAAAGCCUCUGGAUUUCGAUUUCUCCUCUUCGUCGCCUGGGGCUGAAACGAUCGAAAGGGGAGAAUUGUUGAUCUUGUUUGGCUCACUCGAGUCUCUUGGUUGCUCCUGGGGAUCUGGAGAGGACGACAAGGAAGAAAACAAAAGAGUUGGUAUAUGGUAUAUGGUGUAUGGUAUAUUGCUUGCUUGGUUGCUUGGGAGAAUGGAGGCGGAGGCCCACCAGUGUGAGAGACAGCUCGAAUGUGUGCUGUGAAAAGUUGUGGGUGUUGUCGUACGUGAGGGAUUUCUGGACAUGGCACAUGCAAGCGCUGGCUGGAAUUGGGUACGAACGCCCGGGCAUAUACCAGAAUGUUCCAUUUAUUCCAUUUCUCAUGAGGCACGGGCGACGCACGCAAGACUGCCAAAACUCUCAGUUGUCUCUUGUGUUCUCCAUACAAAAAACUAUGCUGCCAAAAAUGAGAGUAGAAAAGAUCUCUCCGAGGUGAUCGUAGACAAGAGCUGGAUUGAACCAUCCAAAUCUAAACAAAGAGCUCACUCGGUCUGGAAAAACGAGGAAGAAAUCUAUGCACGACAUACCUCCACAUUGCCGUGUAUACCAGCAAAGUCGUCACAUACGCCGCCAUGCCAUUGGAUUUGUUUUCGCUAAAUGAGAGGUUAUAUAAAAAUAAAAGUAAAGCAUAUAUUAUAUUAUUAUUACCUUUAUAUUUAUUAUUAUUAUUAUUAUUAGCUAUUCUACAUCCUUCCAAGGCAUAAUCAUUUGAGAUUUUGUAUUUGCAUAAAAUUGGAUAAUUUAUUUGGGACUUAACUUAAUCUAUCCAUUCUUGUAUAUAAAAAGAGGUUUAAACCCAACUAAUAUCAUGUCUUAAGCACUCACAUUGGCAGAAAUGACAAUUUGUCCCUAGAGGGUAAAGCUUUUUAAUAAUGUUUUGCUUUAGAGUUCAAGAUUGUGUUUUUUCCUUUUAUUCUUUUAUUCUCUUUUAGAAGAUCUAGAAUUCUAGUUAUCACUAUACUUAGACUUGUUCUUCUUUUUAUUUUCAUUACAUUCCCUUCUUCCACUAUACCAUGUUAUUAUCAAUCAAAGAGUAUAUCAUUUAAGCCUAUUGAUGUUGUUAUAUUGAAUCAAGCUUUUGGUGAUUAGUUUUGAUGUUAAGUAUUUAUAUGUUUCAAAGGUUAUAUUACUUUGGCUAGAGUUUCAAGUUGAGUGCAUAUCAAUAGUUAUGAGUGCUAUUGAGAAUCUCUUUUUUACUAUUAUUGCUAAAAAAUUUAUAUGUUCCUUUGAGAGUGUGGAUGUUUUUUUUUAAUUUUCUUAUCUCAAAUGUUAAGUUAUGUGUUAAGGAGGUUGAGUGGCAUGAAUAUUUUGCUUAUGUUGUGAUGGCUAAAGUAUUUUAUAGGGUUGUAAAGGUUUCCAAAUGUAUAAUAGGGAUAGUGAGUAAGUUGAGUAUAGUUGACCAACCUGAAGCAUAGUUUAGCUCCCACUUGUGUGCUUAUCCCUAUUUUGUAUCCAGUUUGAGUCUAAGCCCAACUUUCACAUCAUAUUAACUAGUAGAGUACUUAUAUUUUUGCAUUAGGCCACCAGUAUGCUAAAAUAGUGCCAAAUUCCAUUUGGCUUUGUUUUACGUGUUGGUUUUGGCAUUGGGAUGUUGGAUGCUCUAGGAUUAUUCCAAAUCAUUCCAUACUCCUAUUACUUCACUCCUUGAGUUCUACACUUAAGAGUCAUUUCAUGUUCUAGUACUUUUGGUCUUUGAGCUGUAUAUUCAAGAGUUGCUCUAUGCUCCAAUGCUUUUGCUUCUUGACUCUAUGCUUAGGAGUUUGGCUCCACUCCUUCACUUAGUGGCCCAAAUCCCUGAAACUUGGGUUGUGCUCCUCUAUCUUUGGACAUUUGGCAUGUGGCACGUGGCAUAUGAAGGGUUUAGGUUCUGCUUCAUAGUUAUCCUAUAGUAAAUCACUAUAGGAUAAAGGGUAAAAACCACAUGCUCUACAAUUGUGAUAUAUUUUAAUCUCUUUCCAUAAUUAUAUAUAUUGCACCCACUAAUUAACAUGGUAUGAAGAUUAAACUUAGACUCAAUCCAAAUGUAGAGAAAAGCCAAGACACACUCAGUGCAUGUUUGGCAUACCUACUAUUUUCAUUUUACAUUUGCUAUACCCCACUCCUAUAUAAAAGCAAGUUAGUUUCUUGGACAAACUUAAAAACUUACUAAAUAUAGAGUGAUAUUAGAUUAUGAAUUUGCAUUUCCAUUGUGUUUGGGAUAAUGUCUACAUUUUGUAGCUAGUAUAUCUAGACACUUUUCAAUAACACUAAAAUGGGACCAAUAUAAUGAGAGUGAUUAAUAGAUUGUGAGACACAAAAUCCCUAAGCCCUAAAGACAAGCUGAAAGGGUGCCACGUGGUAGUGGCUAAGGCAAAAGUUAAAUGAGCACAACACAUUUAAACUAAAACCUCCGAUUCAAAAAGUCAAGAGUAGGGGUGGAACUCUCAACGAUGUGCUCGAGGAACAAACACAAAGAAAAUAGUAAGUGAAUCUCUAGGAAAGGGACACAAAAGAACCAACAAACAACAUGUGGAAGUGCUAAGAUGGAGUCCGAGAUGGAGUCCGAGAUGAAGUUCGAGAUGGAGUCCGAGAUGGACCUGAGAUGGAGUUUGAGAUGGACUUUAGAUGGAGUUUAAGAUGGAAUUCAAAAUGGAUCUGAGAUGGAGUCUAAGAUGGACUCGAGAUGGAGUCUGAGAUGGACCCGAGACCGAGACCGAGACCAAGGCCGAAACCGAAACUAAGUCCGAAUCCGAAUCCUAAUACAGGCUGUUGGGUGAAAGCCCAAAGCAAUCAUCCCCCGGGGCCGGGGGGGGGGGGGGGCUGCAAGGGGUUCCAAAAGUAUAAUAGAGAGAGUGUAAUGGAGCCAAUUUUGCCCAAGAAGGUUGUACCCCAGGUGUUGGGUGUUGGGUGGUGAGAUAACCAUUGGGAAGUCCAAGGCUAGAGUGAAUAUAGAUUGACAAGCAGACUAGCUUGGUGAAGUGUUCAAGAGCCGACUCUAGUUCCCUUGGGAGAUCGAAUGUUCGAUGUUCCCAGUCCAAGCAUGGGUGACACUACCUACUUGGAUACCUAGCAUGGCUCAACGGAACCUCACUCUAAGCCCAUGGCUAGAGCACCCAAAAGCGGAAGGUGGGGAGAAUACCUAUGAGGUUUGCAUAGGGCCACGGUGUUCCGAAAUGUUAUCCCAAAGUCUCGGACUAUGGAAAGGAAAAGGAGUAGUCCUCUGGUGUAGUGACCAAGGAUACGGUUACAUGGUGAGUGGGACUUGGUGGGCGGGCCUAUGCCCCUUGACCCAGUGGCAGUGGUUGCAAAUUGUAAGUGAUUAAUUUUUCCAUUCUACUUUAGUCACUUAACCACCUCUCCAACCACAAGGAGGAGUCUCUUUCACAACCUCCAUAAGUCCAAUUCAGGACUUGGGGCUUGCUAACCCCGAGAAUUGCAUCCAUGCCACUCAACCUUUGCACUUGGUCCAAGUGCUCCACAUGUCCGAUCCCAUGACUGACACCCCAAGGUACCACCGACAUAUCAGCCCGUUACGCUAGGCCACGCCCAUUCACCUUGGUCACAUCGGUGGUCUAACACUACCUGCAUUGCAAUCCCGUCUCUCCAAAACUGGGCCAUCCGUCCAUGGGUGGUCAUCCCAGAUCCACUCCUUGGCAUCCUUAGGAUGCCUGUAGACAUGGGGAAUAGCCUUCCCCAAUAUCUCCGUUCCGGUCCCCACCAAGUCCCUUUCUGUCCUUAGUCGUGUUCGCCAACACUGCCACUGGAUCAAGGCCCACGAGCCCGACAGCUAAGUCCAUUGGCAUCUGGGACUACCUCACUGUGCGAUUGUGUCCUUGGUCACCACACCAGAGGCUUAUUCCUUUUCCUUUCCACAGUCUGGGACUUUGGGACAACAUUUCGGAACACCGUGGCCCUAUGUAGGGCUCAUGGGUACUCCCCCACCUUCUGCCUUUAGGUGCUCUAGCCAUGGGCUUAGAGCGAGGUUCCGUUGAGCCACGCCAGGUAUCCAAGUAGGUAGUGCCACCCACACUUGGAUUGGGAGCAUCGGCUAGUCGAUCUCCCGGGGGAACUAGAGCCGGCUCUUGAACACUUCACCAAGCUGCCCCGCUUGUCGGUCUGUGUUCACUCUAGUUUUGGACUUCCCAGUGAGCAACUCAUCACCCAACACUGGGUAAAACCUUCCUAGGCCAAACUAGCCUUUCCUGGCCAAACUGCUUCCACUGCAGUCCUCCCCCUUACUAUACUUUUGGAGCUCACCAAAACCCCCAGGGUCUGAGAGACGAAUGCUUUGGGCUUUCACCCUCUCAGACUCGAACUCGGACUCGGACUCGGACUCAGACUCAGACUCAGACUCGGGCUCAGGCUUGGGCUCGAGCUCGGUCUCGGCCUCAGCCUUGGUCUCGGUCUCGGUCCCGGUCUCGGUCUCGACUUCGGACUCCAUCUCCCAUCUCAGACUUCAUCUCGGACUCCAUCUCAGGUCCAUCUCGGACUCCACCUCGGACUCUGUCUCAGAUCCAUCUCGGACUCUGUCUCAGAUCCAUCUCGGACUCCAUCUCAAAC
rnacentral:lncRNA from 1 species